CGGAACCUCUUUGGGUGCUGGGG
rnacentral:misc_RNA from 1 species